rnacentral:rRNA from 1 species
ACAUGCAAGUCGAACGGGAACGUACCCUUCGGGGUACUAGUACAGUGGCGGACGGGUGAGUAACACGUGGUCAACGUGCCUCCGGGACCGGGAUAGCCAUCCGAAAGGGUGGGUAAUACCGGAUAAGACCACGACGUCGCAUGGCGUCGGGGUCAAAGUUUUUCGCCCGGAGAGCGGACCGCGGCCUAUCAGCUUGUUGGUGAGGUAACGGCUCACCAAGGCGACGACGGGUAGCCGACCUGAGAGGGUGGCCGGCCACACUGGGACUGAGACACGGCCCAGACUCCUACGGGAGGCAGCAGUGCUGAAUCAUUCACAAUGGGCGAAAGCCUGAUGAUGCGACGCCGCGUGCGGGAUGAAGGCCUUCUGGGUUGUAAACCGCUGUCAGGACUUAGGAAGAUCUGACCAAGUCCAAAGGAAGCACCGGCUAAAUUCGUGCCAGCAGCCGCGGUAAUACGAAUGGUGCAAGCGUUGUUCGGAAUCACUGGGCAUAAAGGGUGCGUAGGCGGCCGGAUAAGUCGGUUGUGAAAUCCCUCGGCUCAACCGGGGAAUUGCUGCCGAUACUGUCUGGCUUGAGGCUGUGAGGGGUGAGCGGAAUUCCAGGUGUAGCGGUGAAAUGCGUAGAUAUCUGGGAGAACGCCGGCGGCGAAGGCGGCUCACUGGCGCAGUCCUGACGCUGAGGCACGAAAGCGUGGGGAGCAAACAGGAUUAGAUACCCUGGUAGUCCACGCCGUAAACGAUGGGCACUUUGUAGAGGGAGGAGUCGAUCCUUUCUCUGCCGGAGCAAAUGCGUUAAGUGCCCCGCCUGGGGAGUAUGGUCGCAAGGCUAAAACUCAAAGGGAUUGACGGGGGCUCACACAAGCGGUGGAGGAUGUUGUUCAAUUCGAAGCAACGCGAAGAACCUUACCUGGGCUUGACAUGCAGGGA